rnacentral:rRNA from 1 species
CCUACGGGUGGCAGCAGUGGGGAAUUUUGGACAAUGGGCGCAAGCCUGAUCCAGCUAUUCCGCGUGUGGGAUGAAGGCCCUCGGGUUGUAAACCACUUUUGUAGAGAACGAAAAGACACCUUCGAAUAAAGGGUGUUGCUGACGGUACUCUAAGAAUACGCACCGGCUAACUCCGUGCCAGCAGCCGCGGUAAUACGUAGGGUGCGAGCGUUAAUCGGAAUUACUGGGCGUAAAGGUUGCGAAGGCGGUUGAGUAAGACAGAUGUGAAAUCCCCGAGCUUAACUCGGGAAUGGCAUAUGUUACUGCUCGACUAGAGUGUGUCAGAGGGAGGUGGAAUUCCAGGUGUAGCAGUGAAAUGCGUAGAGAUGUGGAAGAACACCGAUGGCGAAGGCAGCUUACCAAGCUACUUCUGACGUUGAGGCACGAAAGCGUGGGGAGCAAACAGGAUUAGAUACCCCUGUAGUC